GAUGAAGAACGUAGCGAAAUGCGAUAAGUAAUGUGAAUUGCAGAAUUCAGUGAAUCAUCGAAUCUUUGAACGCACAUUGCGCCCGUCAGUAUUCUGGCGGGCAUGCCUGUUCGAGCGUCAUUACGCCCCUCAAGUCCCCUGUGGACUUGGUGUUGGGGAUCGGCGAGGCUGGUUUUCCAGCACAGCCGUCCCUUAAAUUAAUUGGCGGUCUCGCCGUGGCCCUCCUCUGCGCAGUAGUAAAACACUCGCAACAGGAGCCCGGUGCGGUCCACUGCCGUAAAACCCCCCAACUUUUUAUAGUUGACCUCGAAUCAGGUAGGACUACCCGCUGAACUUAAGCAUAUCAAUAAGCGGAGGA
rnacentral:misc_RNA from 1 species